UGUUUCCACAUUACAGUUUAACACACAUGGAACAUGAGACUCCUCCUGUCAGACAGGGUUCAGGUUUUACACAUCUGAAGGUUGGAAAGAACAGAGUUACACAAACUGAGCUGCAACUAAAUGUUGCUCAGUGAAGACCCUGAACUGUCUCUGUCCUCUGUGUCUCUGUCCUCUGUGUCUCCAUCAGUCUCUGGCUCUGUCCAAACAGCUGGUCCGUUCUGUGGACAAGGAGCAUCUGUACAAAGUGAACGAUGCAGAGGUGGAGCUGCUGAUGGAGCGCUGGUUGUCAGACGAGUGUCUGAGCGCCGUCAUGAGCUUCUUCCAGACCAAAGCCAGGCUGUGAUGGAGCUGCAGGAGGUGAAGCCAGGCUGUGAUGGAGCUGCAGGAGGUGAAGCCAGGCUGUGAUGGAGCUGCAGGAGGUGAAGCCAGGCUGUGAUGGAGCUGCAGGAGGUGAAUCAUGAAGCACACAGAUGUUAGAAACACGUUAGCAUGAAGAGAAGCUCCUGAGCAGAGCUGUUUGGAUCACAGGACAGGACAGAAUUGAACCCAAAACCCCGACAGAGACUCUUCAGGACAGUUUGACCUCUGACAUUUAAUUCCACCUUAACCAAGGGGCUCAGUUAAGGUGGAAAUGAGGCUAAGUUUUAAAGGUUUUAGUUCAACACCCUUAAUUUGACACAGAAACCUUCUCAGAUGAUGUUUUAUGGUGCUAAACUUCUACAGUUAGUUUUUCACCCAGUGCCAUGAAACAUGGCUGAUUAUGUAAUUCUCUCUGCUGUGUCUGUUAGUAAAAUAUUUCAUGAAGCUUUUAAUGAAACUCUCAGAAAGUGAUGGUUGGAUGAUUAAAGAUGGCCGCCACAGCUAAGUGACAGUAGAAAAUCCUGUGUUAAUUGUACUAACAGAGUUUUGUUUCAGACUUUAAGGUUAUAUUCUUUCAUAUGUUCAGUCUGACUCCUGCUGAUGAACUUUAUAAAACUAAUUUUCUAUGUGAGAAAAACUGAUACAUGAACAGCAACUAAAACUGAGUAAUAAAUGUAGUUCAGUUAAAAACACAAGAUGUUCUGAGUCCAACAGGARCACAAUAAACUGGUAAAAAUACACAAACACUGAGCAGUACUUUCUUUAGUAAAUGUUUUUUUUUACUUGUGUAAAUGUAUUUUACUUGAAGUACUGAACAGGUUUGCGUGUCCUCUUAAUUAGAACUGACACACCUGUCUGUGAGGCUCCACCCCUUUUGCAACAUUAAUGAAGAAUUUAGAUUAAGUUCAAACAUCUGAAUGAAAGAACAAACUCAAACACGUUAAUCUUCAUGAUGUAAUAAACUGAUCAAACUUAAAUAUGGUUUUAAACGGAUUUAAGAUGAUGCUUAUUUUUUUAUCCCACCUGCUAGAAGAAAUACCUUAAUUAACUUAACGAACCACAACAGAAUCAAAAGCAGAGGAAACAUGCAAAGUAAAAAAAACCUGCUUCAGAACAAAUAAAGAUGUUCCUCUGAGA